GCUGGCGUAGCUCAGUUGGUAGAGCAGCGCAUUCGUAAUGCGCGGGCCACCAGUUCAAUUCUGGUCGCCAGCU
rnacentral:tRNA from 1 species